CCCCGGCUGCCCGGCGCGUGCGGACCAUCACAUCCCCGGGGCCUUAUCGAUCCUAAAGGGAGCUGUCCCCGUCCGGACCCGUGGGUUCGGACACACGGCGCCCACCUACGUGAGUAGGUUCCCGGGAUCGAAUGUCCCACGGCCAGGGCGGCGUUU
rnacentral:other from 1 species